rnacentral:rRNA from 1 species
CAGUAGCCGCGGUAAUACAGAGGGUGCGAGCGUUAAUCGGAAUUACUGGGCGUAAAGCGCGCGUAGGUGGUUUGUUAAGUUGGAUGUGAAAUCCCCGGGCUUAACCUAGGAACUGCAUCCAAAACUGGCAAGCUAGAGUAUGGUAGAGGAUGGUAGAAUUUCAUGUGUAGCGGUGAAAUGCGUAGAGAUAGGAAGGAAUACCAAUGGCGAAGGCGACCACCUGGACUGAUACUGACACUGAGGUGCGAAAGCGUGGGGAGCAAACAGGAUUAGAUACCCCAGUAGUCCCUGUCUCUUAUAC